UACGGAGGGUGCAAGCAUUAAUCGGAUUUAUUGGGCGUAAAGGGCGCGUAGGCGGCUAAACAAGUCUUAGGUGAAAUUCCAAAGCUCAACUUUGGAGCGGCCUUAGAAACUAUUUAGCUGGAGGGUAGACGGAGAAAAUGGAAUUCCACAUGUAGCGGUGAAAUGCGUAGAUAUGUGGAAGAACACCAGUGGCGAAAGCGGUUUUCUAGUUUAUACCUGACGCUGAGGCGCGAAAGCAAGGGGAGCAAACAGG
rnacentral:rRNA from 1 species